rnacentral:rRNA from 1 species
UACAGAGGGUGCAAGCGUUGUUCGGAAUUAUUGGGCGUAAAGCGCGUGUAGGCGGCCCGGAAAGUCGGAUGUGAAAGCCCUGGGCUUAACCUAGGAAGUGCAUUCGAAACUGCCGGGCUUGAGUUCUGGAGAGGAAGGCGGAAUUCUCGGUGUAGAGGUGAAAUUCGUAGAUAUCGAGAGGAACACCGGUGGCGAAGGCGGCCUUCUGGACAGUGACUGACGCUGAGACGCGAAAGCGUGGGGAGCAAACAGG